UGGGAUGUAGCUCAGUGGUAGAGCACUUGCCUAGCAUGCAUGAAGUCCCAGGUUCAAUCCUGAGCAUCCUUA
rnacentral:tRNA from 1 species